ACGAGAAGUGAAGACGGAAGCCUUCGGGCGGAAGACUUUAUUUCGAGUGGCGGACGGGUGAGUAACGCGUGGGUAACCUGCCUCAUACAGGGGGAUAACAGUUGGAAACGACUGUUAAUACCGCGUAAGACCACAGCACCGCAUGGUGCGGGGGUAAAAACUCCGGUGGUAUGAGAUGGACCCGCGUUCGAUUAGCCAGUUGGCGGGGUAACGGCCCACCAAAGCGACAAUCGAUAGCCGAUUUGAGAGGAUGACCGGCCACAUUGGGACUGAGACACGGCCCAAACUCCUACGGGAGGCAGCAGUGGGGAAUAUUGCACAAUGGGGGAAACCCUGAUGCAGCGACGCCGCGUGAGUGAAGAAGUAUUUCGGUAUGUAAAGCUCUAUCAGCAGGGAAGAAAAUGACGGUACCUGAGUAAGAAGCCCCGGCUAACUACGUGCCAGCAGCCGCGGUAAUACGUAGGGGGCAAGCGUUAUCCGGAUUUACUGGGUGUAAAGGGAGCGCAGACGGCUCUGCAAGUCUGAAGUGAAAGCCCGCGGCUUAACCGCGGGACUGCUUUGGAAACUGCAAGGCUUGAGUAUCGGAGGGGCAGGCGGAAUUCCUAGUGUAGCGGUGAAAUGCGUAGAUAUUAGGAAGAACACCGGUGGCGAAGGCGGCCUGCUGGACGAAAA
rnacentral:rRNA from 1 species